rnacentral:rRNA from 1 species
AACGCACCUUGCGCCCUUUGGCCACUCCAAAGGGCAUACCUGUUUGAGUAUCGUGAACACCUCAACUCUCAUGGGUUUUUCCAUGAUGAGCUUGGAUUUUGGGGGCUUUUGCUGGCCUGCGGCCGGCUCCUCUCAAAUGAAUCAGCUUGCCAGUGUUUGUUGGCAUCACAGGUGUGAUAACUAUCUACGCUUGUGAUUUUCCCACCAGGUAACCUUCAGCAGUGGAGGUUCCGCCGGAAGCUCGCAAAUGUCUCUCCUCGGUGAGGACGGCUCUUUGAACGUUUGAUCUCAAAUCAGGUAGGACUACCCGCUGAACUUAA